rnacentral:RNase_P_RNA from 1 species
AUCGCGGGUCCGUAAGGGCAUGAGGAAAGUCCGGACAUCAAAGGGUAGCCUGCUUCCUAACGGGAAGGCGCUAAUUUAUUAGUGACAGCAAGUGCAGCAGAGAGUAUAUUUCCCAUUUAUUUGGGUAAAGGUGAAACGGUGAAGUAAGAGCUCACCAGCAAGAUUGGUGACAGUUUUGGCUAGGUAAACCUCAGGCGAUGAAAAAUCAAAUAAACUCCGGUUUGAGGGCGACCCGUCCAAACGGAGAGGGUAGAUUGCUUGAUCCCAUUGGUGACGAUGGGGCUAGAUAAAUGAUAAGCUAUUACAGAAUCCGGCUUAUAGAUUU